UACAGAGGGUGCGAGCGUUAAUCGGAAUUACUGGGCGUAAAGCGUGCGUAGACGGUUAUUUAAGUCGGGUGUGAAAGCCCCGGGCUCAACCUGGGAAUUGCAUUCGAGACUGAAUAGCUAGGGUACGGUAGAGGGAAGCGGAAUUUCCGGUGUAGCGGUGAAAUGCGUAGAUAUCGUCCAGAACACCGAUAGCGAAGGCAGCAUACUAAGGAGUAACUGACGCUGAGGCACGAAAGUGUGGGGAUCAAACAGG
rnacentral:rRNA from 1 species